rnacentral:lncRNA from 1 species
GUCCACUUUAAACCUGCUGUUAAAAUUUGUCUUUUGAGUGACCUUUAAUAAUUGGUUUUAGUUGUUUAUUGCCAAUGUUUCCUAUGUACUGUAUUAUGUUUUCAUUCAUUUCAUAUUUUGUUAAUGCAGUUGUAAUUAUUUUAUUUAAAAACAAAGAAAGAGAGGAAAUAUAAAACCUUGUAUUUCAGGUGUUACUGCAACCUAGUGGCUCCCAGGUGGAAGUAGAACCAGAACUGAAGGCGGAUCCAGUCCUCCACCAUAGCCCGUGUGACAGUAGCAGAGGUAGGAGCUAAGAUGUCUGAUGCUGUGGCUCACACGCUAUGCUGGCUGCUGGUUGUGUUGGUUCUACGUCCUGGGACAGCAGCAGAAACCUCUUUAUGGAGCGUGGACAUCAACUUAGUACAGUGGGGGUCGAUCCUCGGUCUCUGGCUGAAAAGGUUGAGAACCACUGCAUUUAGAGUGAUCAGUGUUUCCUGAGCAGAUCAUCGCCUUUGGACUGAGGAGGAGCCCAAAGACCAUCCUGAUGGAGCCUUUGGACAACAUCUACAGCUUGGUCCAGGAGGAGGAGUGGAACAGUCUUCUUCUUGAUGUUAAUGAUGUGAUAGAGCUCUGUCCAGAGAUUGCAGAUAUGGUGCUCUGGGCCUCUACUGACCCCCUGAUGUCAUCAUCUCCUCCUCCAUCCUCAGCUGAGCUCCAAUCUUACAGCGUGCCAUUCCUCAUGCCUGAAGGAAACAAUUAUUUUCACCUUUUUGGAGAACGGUUAGCAAAGCAAAACAAACAAACAAACAAACAGACCUGAUUGAUCACAGACGUUGGUUCACAUGUUUGUGACAUGAUUUCUCAUCCAGUGUGUUUAUGUUUUUAUCUUUGUAGAGAUCUGGAUGGCGUAGUGGCAGCCAUGCCAUCAGAGGCCCUGGAACCCAUCCCAGUUCCAAAGUGAGUGUCCUUGAGUUGUUUUAAUUGUCUUUUUUCUGAGUGACUCUAGAUCAGAGUGUCUCCCUGCUCUCUCUCUCUACUACUCUCAGCUACUGUUUCCCUGCUCUGCUCACUGUUUGUGUUUGUAGUGGAGGAUGUGGGGCUAGAAGCUCGCAUGUUAAAAUAAAACAGCAACUUUUUGCA